UCCAUGAGUUCGAGCCCCGCAUUGGGCUCUGUACUCACACUUCAGAGCCUGGAGCCUGCUUCGGAUUCUGUGUCCCUGCCUCUCUCUGCUCCUGCCCCACUCACGCUCAUUUGCUCUCUCUCUCUCUCUCAAAAAUGAACAUUAUAAAAAAAAAAUUAUAGGGGAGCCUGGGUGGUUCAGUCGGUUGAGCGGCUGACUUCGGCUCAGGUCAUGAUCUCACGGCUGGUGAGUUCGAGCCCCGCGUCUGGCUCUAUGCUGACACCUCGGAGCCUGGAGCCUGUUUCAGAUUCUGUGCCUCCCUCUCUCUCUACCUGUAACCCACUCGCAUUCUGUCUCUGUCUCUCUCAAAAAUAAACAUUAAAAAAAAUUUUUUUUUUAAUUAUAAAAAAGAUCCACUCCCCUUAUUUAUAAGCAGCCAGUAUCAGCUUUUGAGAAUUAACGGUUUGACCUUCUCUGGGUCAGAUACUAUAAAAAGGCUGCAACCCCCCUUACCCCUGCAGGCUCUGGAGCCUGGGGAAGUCAGGCACUCAAUUUCCCAGCCUCCCUUGCAGGUAGCCAGCCAUGUGAAUGACACUUAGCCAAUGAGAUGGAAGCCUGAGUGAUUUGUCACCACCGCUUCAUUAUUUUAUUUUUCCUUCCUGGAGCAGUGAUCAUGAGUGCAAGAGGCAUGUUCCGGAAGCUAAGAAAAUAGCAAAGGUGUUGAUCCUGACAGAGCUGAGCUACUGAACGUCAGAACAGCUUUUUAGCUCUUGUAUGAUUAAGUGAUCAAGGUCAUUCCCUUGGUUACCAGCAGAACCAAGGCUACACCCCCCAGGCUCUUGGAAUCCAGGUCAGCUCCAGUGCCAUUUUGGCAAAGAACGCCAACACCACUUACUUCAUUAAGAAUAUAAACACAAGGUUGAAAAAUUCACAUUGUCAUUUCGGCUGGGAGACAGAGCAACACUAUUUGCCUCCCAACAUUGCAUUUACCUUCAGCAGCCAGCUCAGAUGGAGGGAAAGGUCGGCAGACUUAAGUGAGAGGUCAAGGGGAGUUAUGAAACAUGAGGAGAAGGUGCCAGAAAAAAUGAGAGAUACCCUCAGGGAAGGGAGAUGCCCCUGGGAAACUAAAAACAGUCAGCUGAAAAAAAAAACAUCACUAGGGACGGAGAUGAAAAACAAGACACAUCGGGGCUGACAUGAAUAUCAAACAAGAAAAAACAAUCUGUUUAUAUACUCAAUCCAUCCUAUUACAAUUAACACUAACCAGCCAGAAUCAAAUAUAAUACACCUGCUUUUAUAGCAUAACUUCAAUAUAAUUCACCAUAGUUGCCAUUACCAUCUAGAACAAGAGGUAGCAAUGGGAGGCAAUUAAUCGAAUCCCCUAAAAGCGAGCAUGCAGGUUUACAUAUGCCUAAGGUAUACCCUGCAUUUAUCUCCAUCUUAGGCACAGAGAGUAAAAAGCAGAUACAAGCAUAAAUAUCAAAGGCGGUUUCUUUGAUUGCAAACAUUUUCCCUGUGAAGCUAGGAAAACUCAGUUUGUUUUGUGGCUCCCUUACUACCUUCUCCACAGCUACUAGGAUGUUUUAUUUUUGGCAAUAUUUCAAAUUUAGACAUCUUUUAACAUAUUAAAUUAACCUAUCAUAAUCUCAGUGAGAAAAUACAUCCUGAAAAACUACAGAAAACCAUCUCAUUUCAUCUCCUUUUUUAAGAAUAAGAAAAAUAACAAUUUACCUAUCUGCUCUUUCCAAAAUCACCUGAAGUACAACAAAAUUUAACAGGUGCUGAUUUUCACAGUUUUGGUUAGUGUCAGAAAAGAGCUAGGGGAGUUUCAAGGCAACAAUUCUGCUUUCAAUAAACAAACAAAAACACAUCUGCUUAUACUCAGUAGAAGUAUCAUAUGCUCAUGUGUUGAAACGUUAAGAGCCAAAUAAUUAUUUUUACAAAGUAAGCCUCGCGCUCUCAUUAGAGCUUUCUUUCUGCAAUUACUGUAUCUCCUUAGAAAAUUUCUGAUAAGCAGCUGCAAGUUAAUCAAGAUGUCCCCCAUGCAACGCUAAACAGAGAUGUAUGCAAGACAAACCUGUGUGGAAAAUAACAGUGCUUUUCCUAAACCCUGAAGGAAGUCGAAGAUUUCGAAGCAACCCUUUGGCAGUCAGUCGUACGUGAAUGGUGGAUAAGGAGAAUUUGGGAGACAACAACAUGUCUUCAGAGCAGGUGAAAAGAUUUCGCAGAAGAAACAGCUUCCAGGCACGGUCACAUACUGUCUUUUUAAACUCGGUACUCUUCAAAGCCAAGAAAUAACAGCGGGAGAAAACAUGCCUACAUAGCAAAUGUCAUUCCACUGCACAUACACAAAAGAAAAAAAAAAAAAAAAAACCCUAGCUCUCCAAGGGUUCCUGGCUUCUGUUUUCACUUCCAGAUGUUGUCCAAACAAUACUCUUCGUCUGAAUAAAAUCUCCUCUUAGUGGAUCCAGCAGCAAGCAGCCUCUCAAUUACAUCACACUGUACAUGCUUAAGGGCUUGUUAUGGUUUUCAUCAGGGAUGGUAAAGGGGAGGAGAAAGUGGGUGGUCUUAGGAGCUUUAUAUAACAACCAAUAAUGUCACGGAUUCUCUAACUACUUGAGAGACUGGUGAGGGAAAUUAACUACUUUGAGUACCUAAUGUUUAUUUGGGAAUAAGGAGAAAAUUAAGAUUUUAGUACACUCAUCUAUAUU